UACGUAGGGUGCGAGCGUUGUCCGGAAUUAUUGGGCGUAAAGAGCUUGUCGGCGGUUUGUCGCGUCUGCUGUGAAAAUCCGGGGCUCAACCCCGGACUUGCAGUGGGUACGGGCAGACUAGAGUGUGGUAGGGGAGACUGGAAUUCCUGGUGUAGCGGUGAAAUGCGCAGAUAUCAGGAGGAACACCGAUGGCGAAGGCAGGUCUCUGGGCCACUACUGACGCUGAGAAGCGAAAGCAUGGGGAGCGAACAGGAUUAGAUACCCCU
rnacentral:rRNA from 1 species